GGGAACUGUCUGAUUUUUGAGAAUGUCUGUAUUUGAAGUAUGCUGGUUAAUAAUAUGUCACUUUUAUUAAUAUUGCAUGUAUACUUUAAAGUUAUAAGAAUUACAUUAGCCCAUUGUGUACACUAAUUAUAUCACAGGCAGAGGGGAGGGUUUGUGUGUCCUCACUGGGAGUGUUUAACCGUAUUAUUAUGUGUUUGAUUGGCUGUGCAACAAGACCAUGUAGGAGGUAACAUUUUGUAACAACUUGCAUAUAAGACAAUAAACACUCCGACUGCUGAGUUCCUGUUUUACCCUCAACAUAGAGCCUCAUCUCAUGUGUGGGGAAGCACUAGGAGCAUCCAUCAACGGAGGUACUUGGUUGGACUACUGGAGCUCCGUUACAGUAGCCUUCUGUACAGAAGGCCUAAUGAAAGUUAAUGUGUUUGAUGUCCUCGCAUCUGUGUAGCAGAGCCUUAGUCCUGACCGGAACUUUCCUCCACUGGAUCACAAAUACUGGAAGUCAGGAACAAGAAAUAGCCAAGUGAAUAGCGCACCUCAUCCCCAGGAACUGGAAAACACGGGAGUACAACUGAUUUUAUUCUGCUACACAUGGCUUUUUAUGCAUUGGCCCCUAGCAUGGGGAUUUCACAU